rnacentral:rRNA from 1 species
UGAACGCUGGCGGCGUGCCUAAUACAUGCACGUCGAGCGAACGGACGAGAAGCUUGCUUCUCUGAUGUUAGCGGCGGACGGGUGAGUAACACGUGGAUAACCUACCUAUAAGACUGGGAUAACUUCGGGAAACCGGAGCUAAUACCGGAUAAUAUUUUGAACCGCAUGGUUCAAAAGUGAAAGACGGUCUUGCUGUCACUUAUAGAUGGAUCCGCGCUGCAUUAGCUAGUUGGUAAGGUAACGGCUUACCAAGGCAACGAUGCAUAGCCGACCUGAGAGGGUGAUCGGCCACACUGGAACUGAGACACGGUCCAGACCCCUACGGGAGGCAGCAGUAGGGAAUCUUCCGCAAUGGGCGAAAGCCUGACGGAGCAACGCCGCGUGAGUGAUGAAGGUCUUCGGAUCGUAAAACUCUGUUAUUAGGGAAGAACAUAUGUGUAAGUAACUGUGCACAUCUUGACGGUACCUAAUCAGAAAGCCACGGCUAACUACGUG